GUCAUCAUCGUCGUCAUCGUCAUCACUGUAAAUCCUUGGAGCAGAAAUCUUUCGUCCACUCCGACUUCUCGACCCGCCAGCAUUAUGCAAAUUACCAAAAGUACUCACAUUACUCUGCCCCCCAACAGCAUUAUUCUUAGCAUUCCUCCCGCCAUUCGCCCCCGAGGUUGGACAAGCAAACAUGGGCGAAAACGGAGACCAGCUUGAAACAUUAUUCCUACUUCU
rnacentral:misc_RNA from 1 species